rnacentral:tRNA from 1 species
GUAGAUAUAGCUUAAACAAAGCAUUAGAUUGUGAAUCUAAAGAUAGAGAUUAACCUUCUCUUGUCUACC